AUCUGUCCUGAUAUCUGGAAUAACACUCCGAAAGGUGUGCUAAUACCGGAUACGCUGAGAAAUCAGGAAAGGUGGCCUCUUCAUGAAAGCUACUGUAUCAGGAGGAGCUUGCGUACCAUUAGCUAGUUGGUGGGGUAAUGGCCUACCAAGGCAACGAUGGUUAGCGGGUCUGAGAGGAUGAUCCGCCACACUGGAACUGGAACACGGACCAGACUCCUACGGGAGGCAGCAGUGAGGAAUAUUGCGCAAUGGGGGCAACCCUGACGCAGCGACGCCGCGUGGAUGAUGAAGGCCUUCGGGUCGUAAAAUCCUGUCAGAUGGAAAGAAAUGUCAUAUGCCUAAUAUGUGUAUGAUUUGACGGUACCAUCAAAGGAAGCACCGGCUAACUCCGUGCCAGCAGCCGCGGUAAUACGGAGGGUGCAAGCGUUGUUCGGAAUUACUGGGCGUAAAGCGCGCGUAGGCGGCUUUUUAAGUCAGAUGUGAAAGUCCACGGCUCAACCGUGGAAGUGCAUUUGAUACUGGGAAGCUUGAGUACUGGAGGGGAUGGUGGAAUUCCCGGUGUAGAGGUGAAAUUCGUAGAUAUCGGGAGGAAUACCGGUGGCGAAGGCGACCAUCUGGCCAGAUACUGACGCUGAGGUGCGAAAGCGUG
rnacentral:rRNA from 3 species